rnacentral:rRNA from 1 species
UACGUAGGGGGCAAGCGUUGUCCGGAUUUAUUGGGCGUAAAGAGCGUGUAGGCGGCCAGACAGGUCAGCUGUGAAAACUCGAGGCUCAACCUCGAGACGUCGGUUGAAACCGUCUGGCUAGAGUCCGGAAGAGGAGAGUGGAAUUCCCGGUGUAGCGGUGAAAUGCGCAGAUAUCGGGAAGAACACCCGUGGCGAAGGCGGCUCUGUGGGACGGUACUGACGCUGAGACGCGAAAGCGUGGGGAGCGAACAGG